rnacentral:rRNA from 1 species
UCCUGGCUCAGGACGAACGCGGGCGGCGUGCUUAACACAUGCAAGUCGAGCGGAAAGGCCCUUCGGGGUACUCGAGCGGCGAACGGGUGAGUAACACGUGAGUAACCUGCCUCUGACUUUGGGAUAACCCUCGGAAACGGGGGCUAAUACCGGGUAAGACCUCCUACUGCAUGGUGGGGGGUGGAAAGCUUUCGCGGUCAGAGAUGGGCUCGCGGCCUAUCAGCUUGUUGGUGGGGUGAUGGCCUACCAAGGCGACGACGGGUAGCCGGCCUGAGAGGGCGACCGGCCACACUGGGACUGAGACACGGCCCAGACUCCUACGGGAGGCAGCAGUGGGGAAUAUUGCACAAUGGGCGGAAGCCUGAUGCAGCGACGCCGCGUGAGGGAUGACGGCCUUCGGGUUGUAAACCUCUUUCGACCCUGACGAAGCGCAAGUGACGGUAGGGGGAGAAGAAGCGCCGGCCAACUACGUGCCAGCAGCCGCGGUAAGACGUAGGGCGCAAGCGUUGUCCGGAUUUAUUGGGCGUAAAGAGCUCGUAGGCGGCUCGUUGCGUCGGCUGUGAAAACCCAUGGCUUAACUGUGGGCUUGCAGCCGAUACGGGCGGGCUGGAGUUCGGUAGGGGAGACUGGAAUUCCUGGUGUAGCGGUGAAAUGCGCAGAUAUCAGGAGGAACACCGGUGGCGAAGGCGGGUCUCUGGGCCGAUACUGACGCUGAGGAGCGAAAGCGUGGGGAGCGAACAGGAUUAGAUACCCUGGUAGUCCACGCUGUAAACGUUGGGCGCUAGGUGUGGGGGGCCUCUCCGGUUCUCUGUGCCGCAGCUAACGCAUUAAGCGCCCCGCCUGGGGAGUACGGGCCGCAGGCUAAAACUCAAAG